GUUGACGGAGUAAGAGCGUAAAUCUGAUGCUGUAUUGCACGCUACAGAGAUUCGUCACCAAAAUUGCACCUGUUAGACUACCACACCUUACUUUACAAACGUCAACACACCUUAUAUUUACUGGCCCAAGUUUUGUCGUGUCAGUCUGUUAACUUUGAACGAAAACGCAUCACAGAAGCAUCGCAAGGACUAUUGUAAGGGAUAUUGUUCGUUAGGCUAUUCAUGGUUAUGACUUUGAAGAGCGGGAGAAGGAGUUUUUUUCUUUCUAAGCAGGAUGGCACUAGGAAAAUUUUAUUCACCCUAUUGGGUUUGUGGUGUGCUGUUCAUUCUACAACUAGAGUUGGCGCUUCAACAACAGAGUCUACAACUUCAGGAUAUACAGCUUCAGAAAUCACAACUGUACUUUCCACUCCAACCUCAGCAACAUCAGACCCGGCCACAUCUGAUUCUACAGGAACAACAACGGUUAUAUCUUCAGAAACACUUGCUUCAACAACCAUGCCUACAUCUUCAGAAACGACAGCUGCAGUUGAAACCACAAAUACUGCAUCCACAACCACAACUGAGCCUUCCACUACUAAAGAUGUGACAACGAUAUCACUUGAAUUCACAACAACUGAACUCACUACAACUUCAGAGAAAACAACAGCAGAAACCACAACUACAGCUUCAUCAACCACACCUAUAACAACAAACGAUCCAACAACAUCAACAGCUGUAACUUCAGAA
ensembl:lncRNA